AAGACUCCGGUGAUGAUAAUAGUACGCAAGACUUCAUGGAUGUGAUGCAGUCAGUUCUUGAUGGCAAAAACCUUGGUGGUUACGACGCUGAUACCAUCAAUAAAGCCACAUGCCUGGUAUGAGUUAUUAAUGAAACACCCACGUACCAUUUAUUUGCAUAUUAUCAGGGCUAGCUUCUUUUGCACAGACAGUUUUUCUUUUGUUUAUAUGUUUUAAUUGAUGCAUAUUCACUUUCUUCUUCUCUUAAUUAAAUUGUAAUAAUUAAACAUAAAAUUAAAUAAAUUUUAAAUUUUAUUUUUAACUAAAAAUAGAAGUAUACAUAUACAAAUAUAUACUGCUUAAGCAAUUAAUUUUUUAAAAUUAUUCUUUCAGAACACUUCAGACAAGCUGAGACAUGCUUCGAGGGAAAUUUAAAUAUAAUGAUUUUAAAAGCUACUUUGUAAUUUUAUUUUCGAGCAUGUUGCAUAAUAUAUGCUUUCCUUGAAUUGAUUUUCCAAAUUUUAUUUUUGUUAGCAAGAAAGGGUUAUCUACGUUUUGGAAGUUAUCUUUAAUUUCCCCUGUAAAGAAUAAGUGAUCUUGAAAAUUAUAAGCUAAUUAUGUUCAUUUGAAUAAGAGAUUUGAAUAAUCUUGUAAAAGAUGAUGUAUAUCGUUUAAGUGGAUGGUUGAUUUAGAAAUUAUCAUAAAGGGAAAUGGAAAAAAAUACUAUUAUUUUGGAACAAGACCAUAUUGUUCAUUGGUGUCUCUAGAAAGUUCCAUUAGAUGCUAUCAAACAAUUAAUUUGGUGUCUCAUUUGCAUAAUUUUGAGUUAUUGGAUUUUGGGUUUUGCAGACUCUAAUCUCCGGAGGUAGCGACACAACUGUUGUCUCUCUAACAUGGGCACUCUCUCUUGUACUAAACAACCGUGACACCUUAAAAAAAGCUCAAGAAGAAUUAGACAUCCAAGUUGGUAAGGAAAGAUUAGUGAAUGAACAAGAUAUAAGUAAGUUGGUCUAUCUCCAAGCCAUUGUUAAAGAGACAUUACGGUUAUAUCCACCAGGACCACUUGGAGGACUACGCCAAUUUACCGAGGAUUGCACCUUGGGUGGAUACCAUGUCUCUAAAGGCACCCGUUUAAUAAUGAACCUUUCGAAGAUCCAAAAGGAUCCAAGAAUUUGGUCAGAUCCGACAGAAUUCCAACCAGAGAGGUUUCUCACCACCCAUAAAGAUGUUGAUCCUCGGGGAAAACAUUUUGAGUUUAUACCAUUUGGAGCUGGUCGAAGAGCAUGUCCAGGAAUAACUUUUGGUCUUCAAGUAUUACAUUUAACAUUGGCUAGUUUCUUACAUGCGUUUGAAUUUUCAACUCCAUCAAAUGAACAGGUCAAUAUGCGCGAGAGCCUUGGACUUACAAAUAUGAAAUCUACCCCACUUGAAGUUCUCAUUUCUCCACGCUUAUCUUCUUGUAGUCUUUACAAUUAAAACAUUGAAACGAAGCGGUCAAGUCGGUCUUGCUAGUCUUGGUUUAAAGACAUAUAGAGUUAAGUUCAAUCAAUCUAUGACAAGAUUUGGGAUUGUAUUAAAAGUAGGUUGGACUAAGAAUGAUGUAUAAUAAACUAAAGUACUAUUUAUGUCAAUAAAGUAUAACUUUAUAUAUUAUUUGGUUACCCUUAUGGAAUGCAACAUCAUAAUUAUUUAUUUGUUUUGUCUAAUUCAUUCUACAUUUUUUUCCCCUCAUUUUCACCACAACAAAUAAUAUAUAGCAUUUUAUUUUUUGAAAUCAAAGUUAGUUCCGAGUUAUAUAAGAAUUUUACUAUUACUUUAUAAUAAACUUUAAUCUCAAUAAUUUUAACAUGUAAAUAUGAUCUUCAUCCUUAAUCAAAUAUAGGGAUAAUUUCAUUCAUCUUUUAGAAGAUUAGAGUUAAAUUUACCUAUCCAUCAUUAACUUGAAAUUUCACUAAAUAUAUUUUUUUUUCUUUUUCCUUUACUAUUUUUACUCAUCAUAUCUUUUAAUUUAAAAUAAAAAAUAUGUUUAAUAAAAUUUGGGAAUAAUGGUUAUUAGACAUAUUUACGUGAAAUUUUCGAUGAGGUGAAUGAAACUAAAGUUUUCUUUAAAUGUAAAAUCAUAAAAAUUUAGUAUCUGCCAGCAUGAUCCGGUCUAAAUAUUAUAUAUAAUUUGUGUCAUUUCAAAAAAUCAUAGAAGAUCCUUUUGGCAAAGUGGCUCCUUUGAGUUGGUAUUCUCUAAUUGUCACUACAUAUUAUAUAAUUUCAAAGAUCAUGGAGGAUCAUGUCGGCAAUCAUGAUCAGAAGAAGUUGCAGCUUCCUCUAUAAAAUACUAUAUAUACAUAAAAUUAAUCAAUGCAAUAUUUAGCAUAUGCAAGCAAAAUUGGACGGAUCAUGAAAGUAAACCUACGGGCCACCCCUUUACGACUUGUUCGAAAAAGCACUAACCCAGGGUGGUGCCACUUUCCAGCUGUCUUUUUCAAUAGCUAAAUGUUACCACGGUCGGAAUGCUUGGCAUACUCUCUCUCCCCACUAUCUAUUAUUAUGGAGAUCCAGAGCUGGUAAGAGAAGAAUAGAACCCGAAGCUGCUGGUGCAUGGUCAAUAAUCGGUCACCUCCUUUGGGUCACAACUUACUGAAAAACCGUCUGUCUAGUAGGUAAGAUUCAGAGGUGAAUACAUGUAUUUAAAAAGAUUAUAACAAAAAAAUUGAAUUGUUUUAACCUAAUGAAGAUAUAAAAGAUAAAUAAAAUAAUCAAAAUCAAACAAAUAAGUAAAGGACACAAAUUUUUAUAUGGAAAAUUUUCACAUUUACUAUAAAGAUAAAAAAACUACAAGAUAUAACAUCUUUAAUCUACUAUCUAUUGUUUGAAAUCAAAGUACGCAAAUUUACUUGCUCACGAUGCAACACCUUUCUCUUAGUCUCGUUGAAGAGAUGCAAGUCAAUACUAUGAAUUUUUUCUCAAGAAAUUGGAAAUGAUAGGGUAAGUUGUUGAUUCUCUUGUAGUGUCAAUAUAAAACAUAUUUAGGUAUGAUAUGUAAAAAAUAUUUACAUAAUCACAUAGAUUAAUGAUACAUGAUUAAAAGAUACUAACAAUAGGAAAUCACUAUAAAGAACAUACCUGUUUGAGUCAUGAUAAAAAAAACGUGAUUGAUUGUUGUAGUCAAGUCUUCCUCUCUAUGAUCUUGAUAAUAGAUAUGGUGGCUAUAUGGGAAAACAGAUAAACCCUAUUUAUCUACAUUAGAGAGGGGACCUAGCAUAACUCAAAUUGGAUUCUCAUUGGGCCCUCCCAUAAUGGGCUUCAAUGAGACCCAUAGCCUACACUUGCCACUCAACUGAGCUUCUACUCAAAAGAUGCAAAACCCAAUCUAAAAUGUGAUCACUAAUUAAUUGGGCUCAUUAUAGAAUAGACUAUCUAUUAACCCGUUUUUGCAAAUACAAAUUAUUCAAUUAAUGUUAGCCCAUAUAAAAAUUUUCCAACAUGAUAUAUAUAAGAGAAGAUCUACUAGAAUUGGUAUCAAUUAAAAAAUUAUAUUUUACUAAAAAUAAUUUAGAAACUUAAACUUUUAAAAAGAUUUGGAAUAGUUUUCUUUUUAAAAUUAUUAAUUUUAUAUUAUUUCCCAAUUUAUUUUUAUUAUUUGGAAAUGAAUUUUUAAAUUGAGAAUUUAAAAAAUCUUUUUAUUAUUUGGAAAGAUCUUUUAAAUUCUCAAUUUAAAAAUUCAUUUCCAAAUUAUUUUUAUUAUUUGAAUUUUUUUUUAAAUUCUUAAUUUAAAGUUCUUUUNNNNNNNNNNNNNNNNNNNNNNNNNNNNNNNNNNNNNNNNNNNNNNNNNNNNNNNNNNNNNNNNNNNNNNNNNNNNNNNNNNNNNNNNNNNNNNNNNNNNGUAAGUCAUCGUCUAAAAAGAUUUUUAAGUCAAAAUGAAAUUAAACAAAAUUGUUAACUAACAAAUUACAAGACUUACUAUCCCAACAUCCCCCAUAUAUACUUGGGAACCAUGGCAGACAUAUACAGACCGAUCUUCACGAUCCUGGUCGGGAAUGCAUCGAGCAUUGGUGGUGAGCAAUAAGGAGGUGGCCAAAGAAUGCCUCGCCAUCAAUGACUCAGCAGUGUCCGGCCAUCCCAAAUUGGUAGCCCCAAAACAUCUGGGUUACAACUAUGCCAUGUUGGCUUUAUAUAUAUAUAUAUAUAUAUAUAUAUAUCAAUAGAAAUACUUAAACAAAAUAAAUAUUUACAUGUGAGGAAAAAAUAUUUACUUAAAUUUCAGAGAAUUAAUAAUAAGGUUAUAUUUGGUUUCUAAAAAGUAUUAAAGAAAAAAAAUAUAAAAGAAAAUGAUUUUUUUAUGUUUGGUUUUAUUAUAAUUUUUUUAAUGAAAAUUAAAUAUAAUUAGAAAUUUAUACAUUUUAAAAUUAUUUAAUCUUUAUAUAAUUGAGGAAAUUAAGUGAAAUGAAUUUGAGGAAACAUAUAAAAAUAAUUUAUUAAUUUUGAAUAUAUAUAUAUAUAUAUAUAUAUUAUUUUUUUUCUUUUUUUUUGUUCCACUUUUCAUCUCUAUUUUCUUUUCCUCAAAAUUUUCAAGAAUCAAGCCAAAGUAUUUCUAUUUAAUUGUAAUAAAUACAUGAUAGUUUUUUUUUUUUUCACGAAUUGUAGAUACCAUUUAUGUGCACUUGUCAUAAAUUACUUUUACGAUAAUUUUAAUUAUCUAAAUUAUUAUAUCGUAAUGUAAUAAAAUAGUUCCUUUAUUUUUUAUAAAAAAUUUUUAUAUUUUAAUUUUAUAAUAAACAUACUCUUUCCUGCAUUUCUUGAAAUUUUUUUAUAUAUAAAUUAUGAAAACGUAAAUUAUGGUUGCUUUUUUUUUUUUUUUUUUGGUUUUAGAAAAAAUAAUGAAAAUGCAUUUCAUAGCUGUGGAUUUUGAUAAAUUGGAAAAAAAAAAAAAAAAAAAGAGAAAGGUGGAAAGAAUUUAAAAUGUGUAUUUUUAAAAUUUAUUAAGAAAUUUAACCUUCUUUUUUCGUGGAUAUGGGCGAUUAGGCCAAACCAUAUAAAUAUUUUGUCUUCUUUUUCAUUUAUUUUAUUUUUGUUGUUGCAUUUGAUAUUGCAAUUUCCCUCCUCCCCCCAACAAGUGGAAUUAAACUUGUGGUGGGAAGAUCAUGGGAAAAUUGAAAAGGAUGUCAAGCAUAAAAUAUGAUAUUAAAUCAUUUGAUGGAAAUAAUAAUAAUAAUAAUUUUAGCAUAUGGCAGAUGUUUUGGUAUAACAAAGACUUCUUAAAGUGUUAAAAAGGUAAGAAAGCAAAGAACAUGAUAGAAGAUGAUUUAUGGGAGAAGUUAUACACAAUUUAUAUGUCAACAUCCCAAGAAGAUGGAUGAAGGAUUAGAUGUUGAGGUCAUAUAAAUAAAUUUAUUAAGUAUAUACCCAGGUAUUAAGUGUAGAUAUUAAGAUGGAUAGAAAGAUCAAAUCAUUCUUUCAUUGGCUUUCUACCAAAAUCGUACGAGAUAGUAGUAACUGCACUUUUAGUUGGAAAGACAACUAUUACACACCCUAAAUACUAAAAUUAUGAUUUAAUUAUAAUAUCAAAUGAUUAAUUUAUAAUUUUAAAAUUUUAUAUAUAAAUUUAUGAAUAAAAUACAAUGUUUGAAAUAAAAAACUAAUUAUUUAAUUAUUUUCAAAUUCAUGAAUUUUAAUUCUAAUGUACAUAAUAACCGUAAUUUUUUUUAUAAAGUUGUUACUAAAUAUAUAUUUCCAAAUAGUAACAUAAUAACAUUUUAUUUUACAAUUUCUAAAUUUAAAAUUUUAUUUCUUUUAAAAGUUGAAAUAAUAUGGUCUAAUGAAUUGAGAGUUUUUAUAUAUGUCUUGUAUGUUGUUUAAGUUAUGUAAUUUCACCAUGUAAAAUAGACUAUUUUUAAAAGUUUUAAAAUUUAAGAUAAGAAAUAAUAGAUUUUGUUACUUUUCAUGUUGGUGAUACUCAAUUUUUUAGAUUUUUUAUUUUUGAUAAUUUUAUUUAGGUGAACUUUUUAAAAAAAAAAAAAAAGAAAAAAAAAAGAAAUUUAACUAAAGUUGUCAAUUUAUAAUUAAAAUUGGAAAAUCAAAUUUUGAUUUACCUAUAAUUAAAUUCUAAAAUAUUUUUAUUAGAUUCAAGGAGGGUAUUCCAUUAUUUAUAUUACAAACUUAAAGUUAAGCAGACAUUUACUUCAAUGUGCUAUACAAUAAAUAAAAUGAUGCAAAAUGGUGCACCACACCCAACUUGCGCACUUUAUGCACACCAUUCAAAUCGUGCAUCUCCAACAUACGACCUAAAUUGUGCACCUCUAAUGCAUCACUUGAAUUGUGUACUACUUAAAUUAUGCAUGUCUCCGGUUUAAAACACUUUGUGCAUCCCCAAUUAUGCACCUCCUUCUCUUUUAACACCUACUUAGAUUUGCAUAUUAUCAGGGCUAGCUUCUUUUCCAUAGACAGUUAUUCUUUUGUUUAUAUGUUUUAAUUGAUGCAUAUUCACUUUCUUCUUCUCUUAAUUAAAUUGCAAUAAUUAAACAUACAAUUUAAAUAAAUUUUAAAUUUUAUUUUUAACUAAAAACAAAAGUAUAUGUAUACAAAUAUAUACUGCUUAAACAAUUAAUUUUAAAAAAUUAUUCUUUGAAAACACCUCAGACAAACUAAGACAUGGUUCCAGAGAAAACUAAAUAUGAUGCUUUUAAUAGUUGCUUUGUAAUUUUAUUUUCAAGCAUGUUGCAUGAUAUAUACUUUCCUUGAAUUGAUCUUCCAAAUUUUAUUUUUGUCAACAAUAUACCUAUGUAAGAGAUGGUUAGUUUAGAAUUUUUCUCUUAAACCAUAGGGAAAAAUGGAAAAAGAAUACCAUUAUUUUCGUACAAGGUCAUAUAGUUUAACAAUGUUUGAAGAGGGUUUCAUUAUAUACUAUCAAACAAUUAAUUUGGUGUGGUCACUUACGUAUUUUUAAGUUGUUGUCUUCUUCAUUUUGUAGGCUCUAAUUGCAGGAGGUAGCGACACAAUAGUUGUCACUCUAACUUGGGUGCUCUCUCUCUUCUAUUAAACAACCAUGACACCUUAAAAAAAGCACAAGAAGAAUUGGAUACACAAGUUGGCAAGGAAUGAUUAGUGAAUGAACAAGAUAUCAGUAAAUUGUUCUAUCUCCAAGCCAUUGUUAAAGAGAUAUUAUAGUUAUAUCCACCACGACCACUUGCAGGGCCACGCCAAUUCACUGAGGACUGCACCUUGGAUGGUUACCAUGUCUCUAAAGGCACCCGAUUAAUAUUGAACAUUUCCAAAAUCCAAAAGGAUCCAAGAAUUUGGUCAAAUCCAAUAGAAUUCCAAUAAGAGAGGUUUCUCACCACCCAUACGGACCUUGAUCCUCGGGGAAAAUAUUUUGAAUUUAUACCCCCAUUUGGCGCCAAUAGAAAAGCAUGUCCUAGAAUGACUUUUGGUCUUCAAAUGCUACAUUUAACGUUGGCCAAUUUUUUACAAGUGUUUGACUUUUCAACUGCGUCAAAUGCACAUAUUGAUAUGCAUGAGAGUCUUGGACUUACAAACAUGAAAUCUACCCCACUUGAAGUACUCAUUUCCCUACACUUGUCUUCUUGUAAUCUUUACAACUAAAACAUUGAAACAAAAAGGUCAAAGUCGGCAUAGCUAGCUAGUCUUAGUUUGAAGACGUUAGCUUCAGUCAAUCUACAAUAAGAUUUAGAAGUGUAUUAAAAGUAGGUUGGACUUGAUACUUUUAAGGAAUGCGAUGCUAAUUCUAUUUGAAUGGGUAAUGAUUCAGACUCUAAAAUCAUUAGGAUUUAAAUCAUAAAGGUGAGGAUAUUUUAUGGUAUUAUAAGGAUGUUGAGUAAUGUUAAGCAUGUUCCCAAGUCGAGGAGGAGUUUAAAUUUCUUUAAGGGCUUUGGACACUUUGGGUUGUGAUUUUUUUGUGAAGCAUAGUAUUAUGGGUAUCAAUAAAGUGCUUUGACAACUAUGAAAAGGAAAAAAGUGAAAAAUUUAUACACCUUAAUCAAUAAGACAACUUAUAGGUGGAGUUCUAAAGGAGUCAUGUUAACAGAAAGAAGGAAUGACACGUAUUUAUUCUUCAUAAUUAUGUAUAAUUAAGAGAUUUGAGUCAAUGCAUGUGGAGAUUAUUGGUAUUUGAAUCUAAUUAUUUAUUUUUUAUUUUUGAAAAAGUCAAUAUUUAUAAAGUCUAUGUUUUACUAAAUUACCCUUUUGAAUUUGACUAAGAUCAGGAAACUAUUGAUUUAGGGUUAAUUCACAUGAUUUUACAAAUAUGUGGUUUUAAAUAAGAUUUAUACUAAAAAGGAAAAAAAAAAUAAGAAAAGAGGAAAACUUAAAUAGGUAAAUAGUCUAUUGAGUUUUGGAUGGAGAAAUGUUGAGAGAAUUUGAAGAUUUUCUUUGUGAAGCAUAUUAAUAAAUUUUAUCUUCCUUUCCCAGGUCUUUUCUAUUUAUUUUAUUUUUCCUGCUCAAUUUGAGUGUUUCAAUUUUUCCAGAACAUGGACAGUACAAAUGGCCAGAUGUUUCAUAUACGGUGCAUGUCAUAAAGUCGCCGCCUUCAGCUUGGCAAGAAAUCAAGCGAAACUGGACUUGAACUUGUCAUUCUUAAGGAAAUAAGCGCCAGCUAGGGUUCAAAUUUUAUGAUGUGAGCAUGCAACACUUAUCCCAAUCCACUGUUCUACUAAUAGGAUGUAGAAGACAACAAGCAAUUGUAGGAGCUUAUCUUUUUUUAUUUUUAUCAAGGUAGUUUCUGAAAGGAUGUGGAUCAACAUCGAUCUGUAGUGAUCCCUAGAAGGCUCCACUGUUCUAAUAAUAGGAUGUAGAAGACAGCAAGCAAUUGUAAGAGCUUAUCUUUUUUUCUUUUUUUUUUAUCAAGGCAGUUUCUGAAAGGAUGUGGAUCAACAUCGAUCUGUAGUGAUCCCUAGAAGGCUCCACUGUUCUAAUAAUAGGAUGUAGAAGACAGCAAGCAAUUGUAGGAGCUUAUCUUUUUUUUUUUUUUUUUUAUCAAGGCAGUUUCUGAAAAGAUGUGGAUCAACAUCGAUCUGUAGUGAUCCCUAGAAAGGCUGUUUUCUAAAUAUAGUAUUAUAAUAAAAAUAACGUUUGCCGAAAUUAAUAACGUUUGGAUAUGUUACAUGAGAGAAACAAACACGAGUACUCCUUGUAGUACAUGAGAAACCAUAUAUAUAUAUAUAUAUGCUUGAACGGGGGAGCUACCCACAGUUUAACCACAGUGAUCCAAUAACGACAUUCUGAGCUACAAUGGAUUUCCUUCUCCAAUGCCUAAACCCUGUCAUGGUUGGAGCGUUUGCAAUACUCGUCCUCUCAUACCACCUGUUAUUAUGGAGGUCUGGAGCUGGUAAGAGCAGAAUGGCACCUGAAGCUUCUGGUGCAUGGCCCAUAAUAGGUCACCUGCACCUGUUAGGUGGAUCUAAGAAUUUGCCUCACUUACUUUUUGGAACCAUGGCCGACAAGUAUGGACCAGUAUUCAGCAUCCGGCUGGGAUUAAAAAGAGCUGUGGUUGUGAGUAGUUGGGAAAUGGCCAAAGAAUGCUUCACCACCCAUGACCUGGCUCUGGCCUCCCGUCCUGAGCUUGUGGCCGCCAAAUAUUUGGGAUAUAACUAUGCCAUGUUUGCUUUCUCUCCUCACGGUGCAUACUGGCGUGAAGUGCGUAAGAUAGCCACUCUAGAGCUACUCUCGAACCGCCGGCUAGAGUUGCUGAAGAAUGUCCGAAUCUCAGAGGUGGAGACAUGCAUGAAGGAACUAUACAAGCUUUGGGCAGAGAAGAAAAGCGAAGCAGGCGUUGUUUUGGUGGACAUGAAGCAAUGGUUUGGGCACUUGUCUCUGAACGUGAUUCUUAAGAUGGUUGUUGGAAAACGAUAUUUCGGUUAUGCAGCCGAAAGUAAAGAGAAAGAGGCCCAGCAGUGCCAGAAGGCGAUUAGGGAAUUCUUUCGUUUGUUGGGACUCUUUGUGGUGUCGGAUGCCCUUCCUUUUCUUGGAUGGCUUGACGUGGGUGGACAUGUGAAAGCCAUGAAGAAGACUGCAAAAGAAUUGGACGGUAUUGCUCAGGAAUGGUUAGAGGAACACCGACGGCGAAAAGAUUCGGGUGAAGCUGAUGGUGACCAGGACUUCAUGGACGUGAUGCUGUCCAUUCUGGGUGCCACAGACCCUAAUGGCUAUGAUGCUGAUACCAUCAACAAAGCCACAUCCCUGGUAUGCACAUUAUUCCUUGAGUAUCUUUACUGCUUGUAAAAAAAAGAAGCCAUAUUUUCAUGCUUUAUCAUCUUUAAUCCAGAUUCGAGUACUUAAGGCCUUGGUUGGAAUAGCUUCCUAUUUUUGCUUUAGUUGCAAGUUGAAACUAAUCAAAAGUCACAAUUUUUAAAAGGUAAUUAUAAUAAUGGUAUUAUAAAAGUUCAAACAUAAAAUAACUUUUUGCAUGCGAGAAAAAUAGAGUUAAAAAAAAAAAAACAAUAUUCUCAUGAUUUUCAUAUUAAAUUUUAAAAAAAUUGUAAACUUUUAGAUAAAAAUUAGACAAAUUUAUCAUAGAAACUCGUACUAAACUUAAGAAAAAAAAAGCCUUCUUUUUCUAAGAAAUUGAUACAUAUAGACUUUUAUUAUAUGUUGGUUUUUGUCAAAAGAGUAACAUGAGCAGCUUAGAAAAGCAAUUAGAAUGAAGUACAAUUGGGCUGAGAAUCUGAGUAUAACUAGAAUUUUGUAGAACCUCUCAUGCUAGGAUAAUUGGGCUGGACUGGUAAUGAUACAAUUCUACGUUGGAGUUGGGUGGCCCAAAAAGAUUAUGCUGUUAUAAUAGCUGGUUCUCUCAUUUAGGAAGAGGCAGCCCAAUUUGCAUCCCUGAACGAUGCACCGCUCGGUGGCUGGGACCAUGGAAAAUUUUCUUGUUAGAAAGAUCAUGAAAUUAUGGUCCUUAGUUUGAGGCCUCUUUGAUUGGGCUUCUUGAGUUAGUUAAGGCAAUUGGGCCUUUCAAAGGAUUUCCUUAGUAAAUUUACAUGUUUUUUUUUUUUUUUGUAUUUUUGUAAAAUGCUAAAUUUAUAAGUGAGUUUCAAAUUCAAGCUAAACAUAUCAAUUUUGAUUGAAAAAAAGAAAGAAAGAAAGAAAACAUAAGUCUUUUUCCACCCUUAAUCAUGUCACUACUUUUAAUUUUAUUAACAUUUAUUAAUUGUUUAUAUUUCACAGAUUUUGAUUGCAGGAGGCACCGACACUACAUCUGUUACUCUAACAUGGGCAAUCUCAUUAUUAUUGAACAAUCCACAUGUGUUAAGAAAAGCUCAAGAAGAAUUGGACACUCAUGUUGGAAAAGAGAGACUAGUAAAUGAAAUGGAUAUAAGCAAGUUGGUCUACCUUCAAGCAAUCGUUAAAGAGACAUUGAGGUUAUAUCCAGCAGCCCCACUUUCAGGACAACGUCAAUUUAUCCAAGAUUCCGUAUUAGGCGGUUACCAUAUCCCAAAAGGCACUCGUCUUCUAUUGAACCUCACCAAGAUCCAAAGAGACCCAAGAGUAUGGUUGAACCCAACAAAGUUCCAACCAAGUAGAUUCCUCACCACCUACAAAGAUGUUGAUGUUAAGGGUAAACAUUUUGUGUUGACACCAUUUGGUGGUGGACGAAGAAUUUGCCCUGGAGCAGCUUUUGCCCUUCAAGUGUUACCUUUAACACUAGCCAACUUCCUACAUAAAUUUCAACUUUCAACUCCAUCAAAUUCACCCAUUGAUAUGAGCGAGAGUUUUGGAAUAACAAACAUCAAAUCCACUCCACUUGAAGUUCUCAUCUCCCCACGCUUAGCUUCUUAUAAUCUUUAUAAGUAGAACUUAAGGUCACUGAGAGAGACUAUUUAAAAGAACCUAGUGCUAUGCAAUGAAAAAUAAAAAUAAAUUUUAUAUAUGUGGCAAAAGUUUAGUAUUAUUUUAAAACAGUUACUAAUGUGUGUAUUGCUUUAAUAUUGUCUUAGCCCGAAUUUAAUGAAAAAUAUUUUCAGCACCUUUUUCGUGAGGACAAAUUAUGACCCAAUUUCUUGUUAUGUUUUUUCCUAAUGAGUUUCCAAGUUGAUUAAUUGGUCUCUCUUUUUUGAUAUAUUUCAGCUACCUUUUUGUACAUCAUUAAAGUAGUAAAUAUAUAGAGACCAAAAUUACGACUUCUCCGAUUUCAUUGUAAAAAGUUGGGAUGUGCAAGGUGGGUCGAUUCAACUUUGAGUAUUAAAAUCAAAUCGAAUUGAUCUAAUUAGUUUGUAUAUAUACACUGAAGAAUUGAUUUAAUUGAACUUAAAGGAGAAAAAUGAUUAGUUUGACUUGAUUAACAAUAAUCUAUAUAAGUUGGUUUAUUUUGCUUCAGUUUAUAACAUCAAAAAUCAACUUUUUUGUUUUGCUAAUUUGGACUAAAAUAAAAAAGCCCGUGAUUAGACAUUGUUGAUCAAAUGAUAUUAUUACAACUAAUUUCAGGUCAUAUUAUUAUAACUUAAUUACAAGAAUAGAUAUUAUUAAUUAUAACCCAUGUCAAUCAUAUUAAGUAGACCAGUCAUAGAUAAAGUUAUAAAGGUAUGAUUUGAGGAUCAUGGAAUGAGAAAAAUGUAUACCAAUUAAUAAUGGAACCAAUAGUUAUAUUGCACAUUAUUAGUAUGUGCAUGUACGUACAACUUUCAAUUCAAUUCAGUUUGGUUUAUUAAUUUUCUAAAUAGGUAAUCGAAUUGGUAUAAUUUAGUUUUAUAUUUAAAAAACCAAAAUUAUUUAAAAAAUAUUUGAUUUGGGUAAGUUGGAUUGAUUUUAUCAAUUGUACACCCUAAAACUAAAGGGGUGUCCAUUUAUCUAGUUACAAUUUUGCCCCAGUUGAUUCACAUUUUUACUUAUUAUUAUCCACUUUGUUUACGCAUGAAUUAUAAUUUUGCAGAAUUUUGCUUUAUGAGAUUCAUAUUUGUACUUAUUAUUGUCAACUUUGUAUGCUCAAAAGUUACAAUUUCCCCUCAUCAUGAGAUUCACAUGUGUUGCUGUCAUAAUUGACUUUCCACAAUCAUGUAUAAAUUAUUACAUUUUAAUAGAUGCAUUAUCAUUUUGGCAUUAAACAAAAUGGAAAGAAGUCUCUGAAGUGAAGUUAAUCUCACUUAGGUAAUGCAAGUAACAAUAAUAGAGCAAUUAAAUGCAUAAUUAAAUAAAUGAAAAAGAAGAGAUAACAAGUAUGAACUCCGAUUAAUAUAUAGCCCAAUCCUAUACUCUCCUCAAGCUCCAAAUACAAGUUGAGGUUCCACUAGCAUUUAAGGCUUCAAUCGAGCGUUAAUCCUUUACACUCAAUUCUCAAUUUCAAUGACCUUCUUACACUUUCAUUCAAAAAAAUUCUCACUCUUGAAUCUAAUUAAAGAUAACAAAGUCUAAACUCAAGAUGAUAUAAAUGAAAACCAAGAUGGUUUUUUCUUGGCUAGGAUUUCUAAGUUAACAAGGAAGAUCAAUCGGGUUAAGUUAGAUUUUGAUAUCUUAGUUUGCGAGUUUUUUAGGAUCCUAUUUUAAUCUUAUUGUUUUAUCCCAAAACCGUGUGAGAGAGAAAUGAUUAAUUUUAGAUGACAAUUGUACUCCAAAAAUUAUUGGUUCAAAUUUAUUUUACCAUACCACCAUGUUAUAGUUAAAGACACAAAAUUGAAAUUAAAGUUAAGUAUAUUGUUCUCGAUUUGGUUUAGUAAUGACACAAUUAAUAAUUGAACUUAAUGUAAAAACAAGUCUAAAAACUUCAAAAGUUUAAAAUGUAAUUUCAUUAUUAGUUUUCACUUGCCAACUUUAAUAGAUUAUUUUUCAUAAUAUUAGCAAAGGAUACACACACCAAAAGAAAAAUAUUAUAAUGUCAUUGGUGAAUUGAUCUAAACUUUCAAAAUAAAGGUUUUGAUUAAAAAAUCAUAAAACUUUUUUCAAGGAUAAAAAAUAAAGGUCAAGAAUUUAAACUACUAAACCUCAAUAUAAAUUUUGGAUGAUUCAUUAAUGUCGUCCAUUAAGAAGCAUGAGGAAGUACUGAGUCAUAAAUGUGAAGAAGAUGAAUAAAUAUUUAUCGAUAUAAGAUCUAAGAGGUAAUAGUGUGUUACUUAGGUAAAUCUAUAUACGCUUAUUUCAAAGUUCAUGGAAUCUUAUUAUGAUUAACAAACACAUGUUUUUAACAUCCAUAGAGGUUGAAAUAAUACGUGGAGAUGACUUUUAACUUAUAUUUUGUGUGUUUAUGUAUAAUUUUGAUUUCAUUUUACGGUGAUUCUAAAAAGUAUUUUUAGUUUAAGAAGUGUUUUAAAAAAAAAAAAGUAUUUAACAAAAUUUAAUAAACACUUUUAAGAAUAUGAAAAUUCACUUACAGUAUUUUUUGAAAAAAAUAUUUGACAAAUAAUUAUCUUAAAAACAUUUUCAUAUAAUUAUAUUAAUGAAUUUGAGAUAGACUUGAAAUUUAUUAAUUUAUAAUAUCUUAUUUGAACAUAAAAUUUUAACCAAUACCUAUUCAAUCCCGUAAUUAUUAAAAUCAAGAAUAUACACUCAUAAUUUAUAUUAAUAUAAAGAAGUAGAAAGCACUUUCAUCUCAAAUUUAAGCAUAGGGCCCAAAUUUUGUUGAGAGCUGGCCGGAUGUCAUCACAAGCAAGAAAACUAGAAAACAUGGCUAAAGGCUGCUACAGAUGUACCUACGUGCUUGACUGAAAGAAAGGAUUUGCUACAAGAUAAAUUGUCCCCUUGUCUGUAAACCCUCAAGUUGUGACAGCAAAAAAAACAAAAGUAGGCCAAAGAAUUUGUCACUAUUAAGAGCCCAGAGAGGUCUACGUUCAAACUCUGGUAAGAGGAGCGUGCACCACUUGUUCACUGUUUAGGGAUUCAGUCGAUAUUUCUAGGCUCCAUGGUGCAUGGUAGGCAACCGCCCUGUGCGAUGCUGUAACGAUGAAGAUAUACAGAUAUUGCGCUCCAAAUGUCCGGAUGUUGCUUUCUUGUUUCACUGAAGUUUUCCUGAGUGCGAUCGAUAUCAGCAUUUGCUUUAUCGGUACCCACUAUUGACCGAGUUAACUUAUUUGGGAGCAGCUUCUUUCAUACUGCGCCUAUUACGACAAUGAUAUAGAACCCAUUAGUACACAUUUCAUUGGUUUGAGCACAAUGAUCCUCGAGUUUUGGGUUAAAAUGACCCAUUUUUUAAACUUAACGUUGAAAAUGAACUCAUUUUCAAACUAUUGUUCAAAAUGGCCUCUUUGAUGCCACAUCAACCCAUAAAAUCAAUAUUUUAUACCCUUUUUACUUUACCUUUCCAAUCACCCCCGUCCUCCGUUUAAAAUGGCCUUUUUGAUGUCACAUCAGCCCAUAAAAUCAAUAUUUUAUACCCUUUUUACUUUACCUUUUCCAGCCAUCCCCGUCCUCUGUUCUCUCCCGUUCUACUAUCUCCUCUGUGCGAUUUUUUAUGGGGCAUUGAUUAAUAAUAUUAAUAGCCAUAGAUAACAGAUUUAAAAAAAAAAUAAAAGUUGUAAAUAAUGAUAAAUAUAUUUGAAUGGAAUGAUUUUUAAUUCUUUUUUCUUUUUUUAGAAUUUGAGUGGAAUAGGGAAUGUGUUUGCUAAGAAUUUCGACCGACUCAAUAGAUAAUGUGAUUUUUAAAUAUAUUUUUUGGUUAUCUAAAUUUAAUGUUUCUAUCAUAAACUGGAUGUAUCUUGCAUGAAUAUAUAUAUAACAUGUUUGCUAGGAAAAAAAUGAUUUUGGAUAUAAACAAUUUCAAAGUAAAAAAUGAAUAAAUAAUUUUUUUCUAAUAAAGAAAUCUUAAAUAAUUUUGUCUCAACAGCUCUUAAAUAUAAAAUACUCAUCUAGAAUUUUUUUGCCUUGAUAUCAAGAAAACUUCUCAAAUAAGAGUAAACACUUUUUUUUUAAAAAAAAAGCCAGAUUCUUAAAGUAUAGACAUUUUCUCUUUAAAAAGACUUUUGUAUUUGGUUAUAUCCAAAUUUCUAAUAUAUAUAUAUAACUAAUGCAAAAUACUUACACAAAAGAGGGCUAGCUCAAUUGGUGGCUCACAGUUAUUUUUGAAAAAAAAAAUGUUGUCUCACAUUAUUCAAUAGUAUUGAUCAACAUUUCCCCUAAAAAGGAGAGAUUCAAAAUUUUUCAAUGUAACCUGAUAAAAGAAAAAUANNNNNNNNNNNNNNNNNNNNNNNNNNNNNNNNNNNNNNNNNNNNNNNNNNNNNNNNNNNNNNNNNNNNNNNNNNNNNNNNNNNNNNNNNNNNNNNNNNNNUUUAUAUAUAUUUUUUGAGGAUAUAAAUAUAAAAUGUCUCUCACAAACAGGGGGUGUCUCGCGGAAAUAUAUAUAUAACACGUGUGCGGGGAAAAAAAAAUUUUUGUAUAUAUACACUUUCACAGAGAAAAAAGUAUAUAUAUUUUUUUUCUAAAAAAAAGAUAUUAAAAAAUUUUGUCUCACCAGCUCUCAAAUAUAUAAUACUCAUCUAUAAUUUUUUUGCCCCGAUAUCACAAAAAAUUCUCAAAUAAGAGUAAACACUUUUUUUUUAAAAAAAAAAAGAGAGUUUGCCAACAUAUGCGCUAGCCCUCUUUUGUGUAAGUAUUUUGCAUUAGUUAUAGUUAUAUAUAUAUAUAUAUAUAUUAGAAAUGUUGUAUGAUUUUUGAAAAAAAAUAAAAGUGAGCUAGCUGUUCAAAAUUAUUUUUGAAAAAAAUAAUUUUGUCUCAAAUUAUUCAAUAUUAUUGAACAACAUUUCCCCUAAACAGUAGAGAUUCAAAAUUUUUCAAUGUAACCUGAUAUAAGUAAAAUAUGAAUGAAUUGAAAAAAAACGACAAUUUCUAACAACAUUAAUUUCAUUAUUAAAAUUUUAAAAAUUUGAACAGCAUCUCCCCUAAAUAAUAGAGAUUAAUAUUUUUUUCAUGUAACCUAAUAUAAGCAAAAUAAGAAUGAAUUGACAAAAAAUAAUAAUUUCAAACAAACAAAUGUCAAUAAGAUGUUCAAUAAGAUAGUUUCUACAUAUAUCUUAAAACGAUUAAGGUCAAUACUAGUAAAUUUAAAAAAAAUAAGUACAAUAAGAUGUUCAUAAAGUAUAUCAACUCCUCCUAUCAUUGGUUUCUCUAUUAGGACAAGAACGCCGAUUGUGACCCGAUUGCUUGCAAAGUCCACAUGUUUGUGGAGUCCUAGUUUCCCUUGCAUCCAUCUCAUUAUGCAAACGACUUGAUUUUGGUCGACCAAAAGUUAGUCGUUUCAUUGAGUCUGAAGGCACAAUUAUCGGUCCAUUAUAUUGAGGCCACUCCAACUCAUCAAAUAUGGGAUAAAACAAGGGAGCCCAUGUUGAUAGGUAAGCACGUGUGGUGUAAUAACCAUGUACAAAUUGUCGAAAAUCAAUUGCUCGACAAUGACAAGUAGCAAGAAUGUGCGAACAUGGGAAUCCUAACAAAAGUGUUUUGUUACAUGUGCAAGACCCCGUUUGAAGGGUAACAUGAUAUGUGCGAGGUUUCCUAUUACUACUUCCAACAGAGUGUCUAGUUUUAACAUGAAAACGUCUCGCCACAUGAUCAUACAAAAGAACCUCAUGUGCACCUGCCUUAACAACUUUAGCCUUUAUCUUGGCGUCAAUAUGUGGAAUGAAUUCUUCACCUGAAGCGAGCCGACUAGCACCAUGCUCCCGCUUGACUGUGAAGUAACUGUUAACCCGAUAAAAAGUUAACUGGACUAAAGUUGUUAUUGGUAAGUUACGAGCACCCUUAAGGACACCAUUAAAAACUUCAGACAUAUUAGUUGUCAUAAUCCCAUAUCUCCUCCCACCAUCAUAUGAGAGUGCCCAUUUUUCAAGAGGAAUUUGCUCCAACAAAUUUCUAGCCUCGACAUUUAUCUGGCCAAUUGUAUCCAUGUGAGAAAUAAAUUUUUUAACUUUACUCUCCAUAGCAGCCCUACACAUGAGAUCCUUUAAAGUCUUAUCUUUGAACUUUGUGUUGAAAUUACUCGCUAAAUGACGCAUGCAAAAUCUAUGACAAGCAUCUAGCUGAGUCCAUCCCGAAUAUGUUUCAUUGACAGCAGCUAUAAUGCCAGGAUGACGAUCAGAAAUCAGACACAACCCUUUCCUUUGUGUUACUCCAACUCGGAUACAUGCCAAAAACCAACUCCAACUAUCUAUAUUCUCUACUUCUGUAAUGGCAAAUGCAAGUGGAAACAAUUGGUUAUUACCAUCACAUCCCAUAGCAAUCAGCAAAGUUCCUUUAUAUUUUCCAUACAAAUGUGUCCCAUCAAUACUGAGAAUUGGUCGACAGUGUGCAAACCCUUUAAUAGAUGAAGCGAAUGCCCAAAAAACAUGCUGAAAAAUUUCUUCAUUCGGAUUGUUUCCAAGAACCAUUUUGGAAUACAUAAUGCAUCCAGGAUUUGACUGCUCCAAGGCAAGGAAGAAACGAGGCAACUCUGCAUAAGACUUGUACCAAUCACCAAAUAAUCGAGUCAUUGUUUUCCUUUUUGCCUUCAUUGUUUUUUGAUAAGAAAUUUGGUAACCAAAUUGUUCCGCAACAACAGCUUGAAUUGCAGCAACUCUAAUGGUCAUUUCUACCUUCACCAAUGUUUCAAUAUACUUAGAUACAAAGCUAGAAUCCAACUGUGAAUGAUCUUGAUUAAUACAUGGAUUGACACAUGUAUGAGGACCUUUGUACUUUGUGAUUCUAAAAAUACCCGUAUCUUUCACUGUCAUUGCCUUUAGUCGCCAUUGGCACUCUGGUGCUUUUUUACAUUGAAGAACUAACACACUUGCAUUUGAUCUAUAAACAGUAAACUCUUGGUGCGCCUUUAUGGAAAACAUCUUCACAGCAUGUUGCAAAUCUGAUUUUGAGGAAAAUAUUUGGCCAAUUAAUAAUUAUCCAUCAACAUUUCCUAAAGUUGGCUUUUUUCAUGGAGUCCAAUCACUUACAACACAAUUAAUUGCCGCAUCCAUAUUUAAAAAUUGUGGUGUAGGUGGCAUAUGGUAUGAAACGGGUACAAAUGUUUCCUGUAGGUUGUCAUUAGAGAUAUUAAAUUGGGUACCAUGUGGAGAGGCAACUAGUGAUGUGUUUUCAACCUCAAACUCAACCUCAGGAUUAUUAGACCUAUCACCAACUUCAAGGUUCAAAAAUCUUGUGCUUUCACAUUCCACAACUUGUUGGACCAUCACCAAAUCAAUAUUUUCUGUUUGACAACAAUUUUCAUCAUCAUUAGGUAAAUGAAUCUCAUCUGUGUCGAUUGCAUCAUCUCUAUCAUCUUCCUCAUCUCUCUCAUUUUCGUCAUCAACAUCAGUAUCACCUGUUGAUAAUCGUGUCAAAUGACCCAUUUCAUUACUCAAAUGAUAAUGGUUGGGAGUUUGCUCUAUGAAUAAUUGAACUGAAGACAUUCCAUACUUCGAUGGCACCAGUAGCAUACGUGCAACUGUCCGAUCAUUUCUCACCACUAAUGGUUGAAAUUUGUUCAUUUCAGUUGGAUGAUGACAUUUCAAGACUAAUUGAUAGUCUCUGUCAACACCAAUGAUAUCAUAUAUCAUCUUCAACAACUCCACAAAGGUCGUAUGAAUGGGCACAUCUAUAGGCUCAAUCUCUACAUUAUUUCUAAUAUAUCUCAAAUCCGUUUCUGUCCUCAAAAUUGUUCCAUUCCAAUAACAUAGCACUUCUACUGUGGAAUCAGUCAUAAUUGCCUUCACAUAAAUAAUAACAAAAGGUUAUUACAUAAAAAAAAUUAUAUUUAUUUAAGUAAAAAAUAAUGACAGAUUUUAAUAUACAUAUGUUUGUGUAUACAUGGACUUAAAUAUAAAAAAAAAAAACAAACCCAAAACCUCCAUUUUUUUAAACAACAACUAUCUCAUUUCCUGUUCUUGUUUUGUUAAAAACUCAUUUUAAUUAAGCCCAACAGCUGUAAUGGGAGGGCCUCGGUUUUUUGCAACAAUAAUUUACUCUCCUUGUAGCCAAUUCUCACCAACCAAACAUAGCAACAAAACACAAUCAACACAGCCACAAUCAACACAGCCCAACAAAAAAAAUUCUAAAAACCGAGAUUUUGAGAUGAGAAAAAAAAUUGGAAAGUGCCAAAAACUUUAUAUAAGCCAAAAAGAAGAUUAUGACUCACCUUAAACUUUUUUGUAGCUCCACCGUUUUUUUUAGUGGCCCACUAGUGAGGCUAGGGUUUACAAAAAAAAAUCGCACAGAGAGAUAGCAGAAUGGGAGAGAACAGAGCUCGGGGAUGGUUGGAGAAAAGGUAAAGUAAAAAGGUAUAAAAUAUUGAUUUUAUGGGCUGAUGUGACUUCAAAGGGCUAUUUUGAACAGAAAAGAUAAAGUAAAAAGGGUAUAAAAUAUUAAUUUUAUGGGCUAAUGUGAUUUCAAGGGGCUAUUUUGAACAAUAGUUUCAAAAUUAGCCCGUUGUCAACUUUUAAGUUUAAAUGGGCCAUUUUGGCCCAAAAGUCAUGAUCCUCAACCUAGCAUGAUGAUCAGUCACCUCAUCUGCAGACCACUUUAGGAAAUAAUUAAUUGUAUUGAUUUUUCAACCGCAUGUACGAAGAGCUUUAUCAAAAUCGGAUUGAAUGCAUCUUGAUCAGCAUGCGACAGAGAUUCCAUUCUCGUCAAAGUAAUUCGGUGGGCGCCCUACAUCAUCUUAAUUCCAAUGUUGAAAUUAAAGAGGGCUAUACAUCAACUCUGGUAUGAUAAGCUAAGGAUCAAAAUAGGGCUGCUACUUUAUAUAGGAUUAGACCAAAUAAAGCUGAUAGAUUGAUAUUACAUUUGAUUACAUUGGAAAGUAACGUUGAACCUAUGAUGAAAGACAAUUCUACUGGGUCAUGCCCCUAGCACUAAAUGCUGAUAAAAAGCAAGUAUGUGUUCAAAAGAAAUUAAUUCUAUAUAUGCAUAUUUGCGCUCAAACCGAAAACUAUCCACGACUCAACUAUAGUUAUCCUUCCUUCGGGCAUUAUAAGCUAGCUGCCAUGUAUUUCCUUCUCCAAUACCUAAACUUUACAACAGUCGGAGUCUUUGCCACACUUCUCCUUUCCUACUGUCUAUUAUUAUGGAGGUCUAGAGAAGGUAACAGCAAAAUAGCACCUGAAGCCACCGCUGCAUGGCCCAUAAUCGGUCACCUGCACCUGUUAGGUGGGUCUGAUCAGCUUCCCCACAUAACCUUGGGAAACAUGGCCGACAAAUAUGGGCCGGUCUUCACAAUUCGUCUUGGGGUGCAUCGAGCUUUGGUGGUGAGUAGCUAGGAGAUGGCUAAAGAAUGCUUGACCACCAAUGACCAGGCUGCAUCCUCGCGUCCCGAACUUUUAGCCUCAAAACAUUUGGGCUACAACCACGCCAUGUUUGGUUUCUCUCCGUACGGUUCUUACUGGCGUGAAGUGCGCAAGAUAAUCAACCUAGAGCUACUCUCUAACCGCCGCCUAGAGCUGCUGAAGGACGUCCGAGCUUCAGAAGUGGUGACAUCCAUAAAAGAGCUAUACGAGCUCUGGGAAGAGAAAAAAAAUGAAUCGGGCCUUGUCUCGGUGGAGAUGAAGCAGUGGUUUGGAGACUUGACUCUGAACGUAAUUCUUAGGAUGGUGGCAGGGAAGCGUUAUUUCAGUGCUUCAGAUGCAAGUGAAAAUAAACAGGCGCAGAGGUGCCGGAGAGUGUUCAGGGAAUUCUUUCAUUUGUAAGGGCUCUUUGCGGUGGCGGACGCUAUUCCUUUUCUUGGAUGGCUAGACUUGGGGAGACAUGAGAAGACCCUAAAGAAGACAGCAAAAGAAAUGGACAGUAUUGCUCAAGAAUGGUUAGAGGAGCACCGUCGGAGGAAAGACUCCGGUGAAGUUAAUAGUACGCAAGACUUCAUGGAUGUGAUGUUGUCAGUUCUUGAUGGCAAAAUCCUUGGUGAUUACGAUGCUGAUACCGUCAAUAAAGCCACAUGCCUAGUAUACAUUAUUGGAACACCCACAUAUCAUAUAUAUUUGCAUAUUAUCAGGGCUAGCUUUAUUUCCAUAGGUACUUCUCUUAAUUUUGAAGUGUUACACUGCAAUAAUCAAAUAAAUUUUAAAUUUUAUUUUUUAAAAAUAAAAUUUAAAAAUAUAUAUACCGCUGAAAGAAUUGAUUUCAGAAAAUUAUUCUUUGAGAGCACCUUUGAUAAACUGAGACAUGUUUCUAGGGAAUACUAAAUAUGAUGUUUUUAAAAACGGCUUAAUUUGUAAUUUUAUUUUUGAGCAAGUUGCAAAAUACUUUAUCUGCUUCCAAUUUUCAUUUUGGUCGGCAAUAAGGGGCAAUAAGGGGUUAUCCAGGUUUCCGUAGUUAUAUUUAAUUUCCCUUGUAGAAAAUAAGUGAUCUUGAAAUCAUAAGUUUAAUCAUGUUUGCUUGAAUAAGAAACUUGAAGAUCCUGUAAAGAGAUGACAUACAUCGUUUGGGCAAUAUACCUAUGUAAGAGAUGGUUGGUUUAGAAUUUUUCUCUUAAACCAUAUAUAGGAGAAAAUGGAAAAAAAAAAUACUGUUAUUUUUUUACUAGGCCAUACUAUUUAAUAGUGUCUGAAGAGAGUUUCAUUACAUGCUAUCAAACAAUUAAUUUUGUCUCAUCACCUGCGUAAUCUUAAGUUGUUAUCUUUUGUGUUUUGUAGGCUCUAAUUGUAGGAGGUAGUGACACAACAGUUGUCACUUUAACUUGGGCGCUCUCUCUUCUAUUAAAUAAUCGUGACACCUUGAAAAAGGCACAAGAAGAAUUAGAUAUUCAAGUUGGCAAGGAAAGAUUAGUGAAUGAACAAGAUAUCAGUAAAUUGGUCUAUCUCCAAGCCAUUGUUAAAGAGACAUUACGAUUAUAUCCGCCAGCGGCACUUGGAGGACCACGUCAAUUCACUGAGGACUGCACCUUGGGUGGUUACCAUGUCUCCAAAGGCACCUGAUUAAUAUUGAAUCUUUCCAAAAUCCAAAAGGAUCCAAGAAUUUGGAUGAGUCUAACAGAAUUCCAACCAGAGAGGUUUCUAACCACCCAUAAGGACCUUGAUCCUCAAGGAAAACAUUUUGAAUUUAUACCAUUUGGUGCGGGUAGAAGAGCAUGUCCAGGAAUAGCUUUCGCUCUUCAAAUGCUACAUUUAACAUUGGCCAAUUUCUUACAGGCGUUCGACUUUUCAACUCCAUCAAAUGCACGAGUUGAUAUGUGCGAGAGCCUUGGACUUACAAACAUGAAAUCUACCCCACUUGAAGUUCUCAUUUCUCCACGCAUGUCUUUGUUAUAGUCUUUACAACUAAAAUAUUGAAAUGAAAAGGUAAAAGCUGGCCUAGUUGGCUAGUCUUAGUUUAAAGACAUCUUGAGUUAGCCUUAAGAUGCAUAAGAUAAGAUUUAGGAGUGUAUUAAAAAUAGUUUGGACUAAAAAUGAUGUAUGGUAAACUAAACUAUAAUCUAUUCCAAUAAAAGUAUAGUAUUAUAUAUUAUUUGGCCAGCCUUUUAAAAUUUAGCAUCAUAAAUUUGAACAUAUAUAUAAACCUUAGUCUAACUUUAUUUCUCUAUUUUGUGUAGUUUAUUGGCACUUUUUUUUCCCUUUUUUUUCACCAAAACAGGUAAUACAUAGGCUUUUCAAAAAUAUUACCUAUAUAAGAAUUUUAUUAUUACAUACUUAGAGGAUGUUUGGUAAAUCAAUAUAAUGGCUUAAUGACCUAUUUAAGUCUUAACUAGAUUAAGAAUAUUUGGUAAAAUAACUUAAAGAAUAAAUUAAUUAUUUUAACUUAGCACUUAAAAUUAAAUACUUGACCAGGCAAAAAAAAAAAAAAAAAAAGACUUUUAUGGAAUAAGGGCAAGAAAGAAGAUAAGAAGGAUUAGUAGUUGCCUAGUCGAGGAACUUGAGGCCGACAUUCAGAGUGCGGUCCCAGAGUUCAAGACACCGCCUAAAACUAGUGUCGGUCAUAGAGAGACAUUAAUUUUUCAAUGAAACAAACCCCAUCUCUUGUUCUCUCCCGCCUCAACAGCAGUGGUAAGUGUGGAUAUAGAUCUAAAUGCAAGAUGAUCCCGAACUGAUUUCAUACCACCAUCCAUCACCAACCAAUCACAUUCCACUUCCCACUUCAAACUUUUCGAUUCCUCGGGUAGCCUCCUCUAUAAAGGCAGUCUAGCUUCAGAGGCAGGUGAGCCGGGUCAGGAAGGAGUUUGACUGCUGGGAAGGGAUUGGAUCCUACUCGAAGCACUCCACCAUGAAUAAGAAUCUUCGAGUUAGAUAGGCAGUAGAGAUAGGAACUCCUAUUUGUAGGGUGGGCUUUCAAGACAGAGAUGCACUACUCCAUCUGGAAAGGGCUUUCCCUCGUGGGGAAAGAGUAUGAUUAAGGAAGACCAAUUAAAGAAGGGUGGUCGUAGAUCAGAUAUCGAUUAACUGCUUGGCAACCUAUCCCGAAUUGACCAGUUGACCAGGUAGGAAUACCUGUACUAAUUGCAACAAGAGAGACCAAUAGAGUUGAACAGACAACUGACAGCUCGCAAUUGAGAGACUUUCCUGUUGAGUUGACAGAUGAGCGAUUGCAAGAAAUAGGGGAAAAAAGACAGAUAACGCACAGAUUGACUUAGCAAGAAGCGGUUAGUGGGACUUAGUUCGAGGUUUUAUUCCUCUUUCCUUAUUCGUGAACAUAUGGGACUCUUUCUUUUUGCUUUCUUCAAUCACUUCGAUCUCUGCCACUCUCGCCUGUCGAAGAUAGCCUAGUCUUUUAAAGUAUACGAUUUCCGAGUUAUUGAACUCCUAAAUUCAUUCCGAUUGGGGAAUAAUAAAAGAUGUUAUUAACUUCAAGUUAUCCCAAUAUUUAUAGCUAAAGCCCUAGAGGGCGCGUUCUUAAACCUUUUCGCUACGUGAAAUUUAAGCAAGAUCUCAUCGGUUCUAUCUUUAGCGAAAUCUUCCUUUAGCUUUGAUGUCAGGUGAUCAAAAGAGAUUACCGAAUAGAGCUCUUAUUCAAACCAUCAUUCUUUUCUAGUUAUCACACUCAGAUAGAGGGAAGAUUUAGAUUUGUAUCCCAACUUAUUAAUCCAACUUCCACGAGGUAAGUCAAAUGCUCUAUGGGCGAUGUCUAAGCAGUGUCUACGAACCUAGACGAAAAGGGCUUUCAUUACCAUGUUGGAAUUUUGAACAGGACCACCUACCAAUCAGUAUACGACAACAAAAAGGCUCAGAGAAGCAUUUAGCGAGUAUGAUGGGGCCCAGAUCACAGUAAACUUUGACAAAGCAUGGGGGUCUCUUUGUGACUAUGCAAUUAAAGAGGACGAACAACCUCUGACUUGGAAGGAAGAAAGCCUCGCCCAAAUAAAGGAACGGGUCAAUGCGAAGAAAACUCAUAGGAAGACCGAUAUAGAAACAAAACUAAAAAAUAUUGAUAGGAUGUCAAACAAAGAGGAUAGGUUCCAAGUUUAUGAGGAUUUAGUAUUUGCGCAAAAGUUCCUAUCUUCCUAUUCCUAGGUUAAGUCUAUUUUCGAUGAUCUGAAAAUCUUAAAAGACAUCAAGGGAGAACACCUUGUCAAAUAGAAUCUAUACGAGCAUGGGAAACCUGAUGAAUAUGACAUUGAGGAAUUGAAUUGGGAGAAAAAGACUGACUUAUUUAUUGCUUGAUUUGAUUGCCUAUCAACUUGCUUUUAGUAGACCUAGUAAAACAACUAUUCCUUUUUGAGGAGUCGAGUACCUAAAAAACGAUCAUUCUCCAUUUUCUGUCAAAAGUGCUCCGAAUCUACUUCGCUAGCUCAUGGAAAAAUGACUUCGUGGGGACUCACGAUUACUACAAUUUAUGGGUAUUCUUUGAGUUCCACGAACCAGACACGGGAAGCACAGUCAUUGGAGCAUUCGAAACAGGAACGACUUAUGCUAACACAGUCUUUAAGAUUCUGGACGGGUAUAUCGACUUGACUCCAAAUACAAUCAAAUUAUAACAAAAAAAAAAUGUGCUUAUAAGAAUCAAAAUUCUUGCAAAUAAACUUCCCUUGUGUAUUAGGGACCCUUUCAAGCAAGGUUCCAAACAUUAAGAUUCUUUUCCAAUAAAAAGAUAGUAAAAGAGGCACAAAUCAGAUCAUAGAAACCUUGUGGGGUUGCAUACAACGCCAAAUAACAAGCAGCGCUUACGUACAACGAGAAAAGAUAAAGAAAUUGCCUAGAUCAACUACAACGAAUGCAAAUGCGUAUUAUUACCAAACCUGAUACCACUAGAUUUAUUUCUUAGUUAUAUAAUAUAGUAGCAAACAUGCCGAGAGAAACAAUACCCAUACCUGCUGUGGAUUCACAGGGGGACACGACGGCGAGAAAUUUUUGGCGGACGGAUUAUUCAUCACGCAAUUGGGCCAUACAACAAGGUUAUACAAUGUGGCGUAGAAUCCAGCAGGAAGACGACUUUAUGAAAACAAAAAAGAUCCUAGUAGUGAUACUUGACAUAGAAUCGAAAAGAAGCCAAAGCUACAAGUACGCAGAAGAUGUGGGGGGAGAUGAUACGAGACUUUCUUUAAUCGAUUUUGCCAUUAUUCCCUUGAAGCAAAAAAAAAAAAAGACAAAAGAUAUUAUUAUAUAUUUAAUAACAUAUGUAAAUGGAGGAAAGCACCCUUAUUUUAUUGAAAUACAUCUGUGUGACGAAAGGCAACCCAUCUGGUACCUACCACUACUCGAAAACCAUUUUAUCCAACGGUGUGGAGAAAUUAAAACGAACAUUGUUAGGAUUACGCAACUGGGGCCCUUCUUGAGUGAAAAUGACAAAGAGAAGAGGAAGUCAGAAAAACUCUACCCAUAUUGAUCAAACUAUACCAAAGCGAAGUCUCAUGCAAAAAAGAAAUGAAAUAAAAAAAGGCAAGAUGAGCAAGAAUUUGGGAUAACACGUUUCAUAAACGAAUUCAGCCCUCAAGAACAGAAAGCAUAGGUUGAUGAACUCAUUAAACAAUCCGAGAACACAAACAACUACCCAAGAUUCGGGCUAGAGCUGUGCACAAGUAGGAACUUUAGCCGCCACUAGUACGUACGACAAGUGCAGUGCUUCUGCCCUCUUAUCUUGUUCCUGAACAGGAGGUACACUUGGUCCCUUGUUACAUGACUUUUUUUAUAUCUUUAUGGUCUGAGAUAUCAAGUCGUAACACCGUUGGUUCUUUGAUAAAAUUUUGUAAUGCACCGAUGGUGUUUUAGUUGCCCCUUGAGGGAACCAGUCCUUAUGGUAGAGGGCCAAGAAAAGAUAGCGUGCUUGUGUUGGAAGCAAGCAAGCGGGCAAGCGGGUGAACAAAUCACCAAUUGAACUAGACAUUCGGUUACUAGGAGCAUCCCUUUAUCAGCAUCUUCAUAACUGUCUUCAAGCUUCUGGGCCUCGGAAACACAAUAGAAUCUUGUGAUCGAGUGAAGGGCAAAUGAGCUACCACGUCCCAGCUAAAAAUCUUACCUGAUUUUAGCUACUCCCGUAACCGUCCCUUUGAGUACUUAUGGCAAUCAUUUACCUUAUUUAUACCCAUCUCAAAUAAUGGGACUCGAUUUAUCAUUUGAAUUUAUCUCCAAAAAUUGGACUGAAAGUGAAUAUGUUUUCUUUAUUGUAGAAGUUUACAUCUGGAGCUCCCUUGAGUGGUGUUAGCUGGUCGUAAGUCAGAAAAGGAAAGGAAUGAGGGGCAAGACCGGAGACCUACGACCAUAGGCUAGAGACCGAAGAAUCCCAUAACCUGUUUCGAGAAGGGCAGGCUAGUUUAAGCAUAGUCAUUCGAUUCGACAUCUGCCUCUUUCAAGCGGAUAGAGAAAGGAGAGUAGGAGCACAAGAAGGAUCAGACGAUUCUAAUUGUUAGACAGAGUAGAGGGGAGAGAGGCAAAUUGAGUUUCUGAAGCUGACGAAGUGAUUUACUAUAUUGUGGAGCUUCCACCAACAGUAGUUUUUCCACCAUAAGGGGAGAGAUAUUGCGCUAGGUCAACUCGAGCAUAGGGUUACAGACGGACAUCUUCCGUUCAAUCAGAUGGGACUCUUUGUUGAGAGUUCUAAAGCUAGGUUUGCCACUUUAAACCCAACAGAUGCAAAGCAAAAGCCAAAAAACCAGCAACUCUCUUACUUCAAUUGACUGCUUGACUUCUUUCUAUCCGAUUAGCAUUGGUUUAUGCUGUCUCGAAAACAGGAACUUAGGAUUUUUAUACCAAGAUUCAAGACAAGAAGUCUCGACAUUCCUCAUAUGGGAAAAAAAUGAAGUGGAACCUUCCAAAGGCCCGGGUUACGAUGCUUCAAGUUCAAUGAAGGAAAUUGGGAGAACUUGAAAAUGGACCAUGACUCUAUUAGCUUACUAGCUUAGCUUCGUGAGCUUGCUUCUUUGGUUAGACAAAAAGCAUUCUACUUACUGUCGAAGUGGAAAUCAUUCUCUAGGUCGAUAAUAAAAUAGUGCUUUCAAAGUAGAAAGGAGGACGAACUAUAUUGGAAUUUCUUAGGGCAAAAUUCUCAAAGGCUAGCUAGCAAGAAAGUGAUAGUCUAAUGGUUACAACGAGUGAGCAUACUGGAUUAAGUUUACAAUCUCCGAUAUUAUCCAUUUCAGAAUCUUUCACUAUCGAGAGGAAAUUGUUUNNNNNNNNNNNNNNNNNNNNNNNNNNNNNNNNNNNNNNNNNNNNNNNNNNNNNNNNNNNNNNNNNNNNNNNNNNNNNNNNNNNNNNNNNNNNNNNNNNNNNNNNNNNNNNNNNNNNNNNNNNNNNNNNNNNNNNNNNNNNNNNNNNNNNNNNNNNNNNNNNNNNNNNNNNNNNNNNNNNNNNNNNNNNNNNNNNNNNNNNNNNNNNNNNNNNNNNGGGGGGGGGGAAGCGAUCCAGACAAGGAUAGUCUCAAAGGAUAUUUAGGUUAUCACACACAAAGUGUGGGUCCAUGCGAGCAAGGCUUAGUAGCUUUCCAUGACGAUCCAACAGAUCAAAUAUGAUUCUAGCCAAAGCCAAUUGGAAGAAAUGAAUCUCUUGGGCCUUCUCCUGCGGGCAUCUAAGGUUCUCUUGCUUAAUUUAUUCUUUAUCUCAAUUUUUUUUUCCUUCACUUAUCCAUGUUCAAUAAAACCGUAUUUUACAAUUAUGACUUUGAAUUUACAACUCAUCUUUUAUAGUAAAUAUUUUCGUAAUUUAUUUACAAUACUUUAAAUCUAAAUAUUUAACAACUAAAUUUAUUAUUAUUAUUUAAGAUUAGUAAAACUAUAAAUAUUAGUUAAAAUGAAUGAAGAUAAAUAUAUAGAUUUUAUAAUUCAAAAUAAAUAUUAAGUUAAUUCUAUUAAACAAUCCUAAUAUUAAAAGUAAUAAAUAAGUAAUAAAUUUUAGUUUAAUAAUUUAACUUGAAAUCAAUUUAAUUAAAUUAUUAAAUAAUAAAUAUUAAGUUUUAUCCUGAACGUUAAUCUCAACGACCUUGACAUCUAAAUAUGAUCUGCCCCAAUUAAAUAUUAAACCAUAACUUAACAUAUGCCCGCAUGACCCUCGGAGCAUAUAAUUAAUUCAUUUCAAAGAUCACGGAAGAUCCUUUUAGUAACAUGGCUCCAUUGAUAUAGCAUUCUAUUUAUUGACCGCUACGUAUUAUAUAAAUUCAAAGAUCAUGGAGAGGAUCUUGUCGGCAAUCAUUCGUCAGAAGAAGGGCAGUUUCCUUCAUAAAAUAGUAGACUUUGAAUAAAAGUAAUCUACACAACAUCAUAGCAUAUGCAAGCAAUUUUGGACGGAUUACGAAAGUCAAACCUACUGGGCCACGCCCGUUACAACAUCUCGAAAUAGGGAGAAUUGUGUUUUUGAUCCAGGCCCCAAAAAUUAACAUUUGGUCCUCCAACCACCCAUAUUUAAGCCCAAGACCCAAAUAAAGUAUGAAAAUUAAGAUGAAAGAUAUUGUCUUUCAUUAAUUCCUAAAAUACCCUUAUCCCUUAUAUGCCUACAAGUGAGUGUGAAUUUUAAUUUUUUUUAUAUUUUUUUUCCUUUUCUAUUCCCUAUUAAAUAUUACUUAUUUCUAACUUUUUUUUUCCUUUUUAUUUCAAUAUAUAUUUCUAUUUUAUGUCAAAUAAAAAACAAUAAUAUUUUUUUAUUUUUCAUUUUUAAAGAUAUUGAAUCUUUUUGCUCUUAUUAAAAGCAAUGAUAAAAAUUUUGAGAUUUUUCAUCCAAAUAUUUUUUUAUCUUUUUGUAUUUAUCUUUUAGUUUAAUUUUCAUUUUUUAUUUUAAAUUUAUAUUACCCUUUCAUCUAUAUUUUUCUCUUUUUUUUAUAUUUUCUACAUUAACCAUAUUUUAAAAAUUUUUAAAAUUAACUAUCACUUCACUUUAUUAUAUAUAUAUAUAUCUUUUUAGCUUUUUAAUUUUUAAUGUUUUUAUUUUAAAAUUUUUAAAAAGAUAAAUUUGUUGAAAAAAAAUAAUUAAGAUAUGAAGUUCUAAUAUUAUAUUAAUAAUUUUUCUUAUCUAGAUAGACUAAUGCAAAGUAUUUUGACCCACAACAAGAAAAUUGUCAAUACAAUUUUUUAGUUAAACUUUAAAAAUUAAGUUUCAAAUAAAAUAUAUUAUAUAAAAUUUUAUCUAAAAAUUAUUGAAAGUGGUAUUUAAUUUUUUUAUUUAUUGACUUUGAAACUUAUCUAAUUUUUUACUUGAAAGGUAAUAGAACAUGUUUACAAAAAAAAUUAGUUUUUCAUUUUUUUAAAUAAAUGAGUAUAAAUAUAUUAAAAAAAUUAAAGAUAAUCUUAGUAAAAAAUUUGAUAAAUAUGAUUAUAAUUUUAAAUAUAGAUUCAUGUGGAUAAAAUUUCACAAAAAAAAAAUAGUGGAAAGAAAGAACAUUGCUAAAACUACAAAAACAAAAUAUGCAAUUACAAAAAUUUGAUGAUGAAAUUUAAAAAUAAAAUUCGAAACAAUUCUUGAGUGAGAGAAUUUGAGUGGGGAAAAAAUAUUUGAGUGGAAAAAAAUGGGAAAGUUUUUCGAAAUCACUUUAAAUCCUUAACAAAAAGUAGUCUUAUACACCCUUGUACAAUUAGUAAAUUUGUCUUGUACAAUUAGUGUAAUACCCUUGUACAGUUAGUGUAAUACCCUUGUACAAUAUCUCAAAUUUCAUACAUCAUUUUAUGAAUAUCUAACAAUAGGUCGGUUAACCAUGUUUGCAUCGGUUUGGUUUUAAAAAGGAAAAAAAAUUGUUGUAUAAUUUUGUUUUACAAUCAUCAUAAGUGAGGUACCUAUUAAAAUGACCAUAUACAAGUUAGAUAAAAUUCAUGAGAUGAAUGUAUGCUUAACUAAUGUGUGUAAGAAAUGUCAUUUAUCUUUGGUUAAGGGAAAUAAACAAACAAGUUUUUUAAAAUCACUUAAAAUCCUUCACAAAUAAUAGUCUUGUACACCCUUGUACAGUUAGUAUAUUUGUCAUGUACACUUAGUGUAAAUACCUUGUACAGUGACUAAAAAAAAAACGUUAUUUUAUUUUAUUUUCAAUGCAAAAUGUAAUUAAAAAUAAGACAAAGAAAUUACUUAAAAACUAUUAUUUAAGCCAAAUUUAUUUAUUUAUUUCCUUUUAUUUUUGGAAAUAAAGAAAAAAGAAUAAAAAAUUUAUUUAACCAUAAGAAAUAUGAAUAUAAGAUCAGUUGGAAAAUUUUAAAUUUAUUUAUUUAUUUCAUUUUAUUUUUGGAAUUAAAGAAAUAAAAAAUUAAAAAUUUAUUUAAUCAUAAAAAAUAUUGAUAUAAGAUAUAUUAAAAAAUAGAAAUAACCCCAAAUUUAUUUACUUAUUUCAUUUUAUUUAUUAAAUUAGAAAUUAAUUUAUUUUAAUAGAUUAAAAUGUGCACAAUUUAUUUAUUACUUUGUUAAUUAUGGAUAUAUUAAAAUUUUCGAUAAAAAAUAAAUAAAGAAAAUAAAAUUAAAAAGAGUAAUAAAUAUAUAUAAUUUAGUUAUUUAAUUAUUUUUCAUGUAAAAGAUGGUCCCACAAAAAACAUAUAAUUGAUCAAUUUCUUUGUUUAAUCAUAAACAUACUAUUUUUUUUAUUAUUAAAAUAAAUAAUGAAAAAAAAUAAAAAUGGAUAAUCAAUGAAUGAAAUUUAGUUCUUUUUAUUAUUUUCAUAUAAAAAAUAGUACUAAAUAAGGUUUUCAAUUUUUAUUUUUUAAAAUAGUUUUCAUUUUUUAAUUAAAUGUUUUUUCAAAAAGAAAAUAUAAAAAAUAUAAAUCAUAUUACUAUUUUUUAGAAAGUAUUUUUUAAAAUAGCUUUCGAACAUAAUUUUUCUUUAUUUAUAAUUUAAAAUAGAAAAUAAUGUUGAUUUUCAAUUAUUUAUAAAAAAAUUAAAAUAAUGAAAAAUCCAAAUUGUUAAAAUAGAAUUAUUAUGGUUGCAUGAAUAAUGGUGCAAUAAAGACAAAAAAAAAAGUUUAUGUGAAAUGUCAUUGGGUAUUUUAGUCCAUCACUAUUUAAUGUCCUUAAAAGGUAAUGUAUAGAAAUUUGAAGGAUAUAUUGGUCUUUUAACAUCUCAUAUCCUUUCCAUCAAUUAUGGAAGUUAUAUAGACCAAAUGUUAAUUUUUGGGCCCAAUUGGGCCCAAAACACAAUUCUCCCCUCGAAAUAUGGUAGUAUAGAUAGAUGCUUAAGCUGGAAAAACACCGACAGAUCGAUCUAACCAUGGCGGUGCCACACUCCAGCAGUCUUCUUCAAUACCUAAAUGUUACCACGAUCGGAGUGCUUGGCAUACUUUUUCUUUCCUACUAUCUAUUAGUACGGAGAUCCAGAGCUGGUAAGAGAAGAAUAGGACCUGAAGCAGCUGGUGCAUGGCCAAUAAUCGGUCACCUACACCUCUUAGGUGGGUCACAGCUCCCUCAUGUAACAUUGGGAACCAUGGCCGACACAUAUGGGCCGGUCUUCACAAUUCGUCUUGGGGUGCAUCGAGCUUUGGUGGUGAGUAGCUGGGAGAUGGCUAAAGAAUGCUUGACCACCAAUGACCAGGCUGCAUCCUCGCGUCCCGAACUUUUAGCCUCAAAACAUUUGGGCUACAACUACUCCAUGUUUGGUUUCUCUCCGUACGGUUCUUACUGGCGUGAAGUGCGCAAGAUAAUCAGCCUAGAGCUACUCUCUAACCGCCGCCUAGAGCUGCUGAAGGACGUCCGAGCUUCAGAAGUGGUGACAUCUAUAAAAGAGCUAUACGAGCUCUGGGAAGAGAAAAAAAAUGAAUCGGGCCUUGUCUCGGUGGAGAUGAAGCAGUGGUUUGGAGACUUGACUCUGAACGUAAUUCUUAGGAUGGUGGCAGGGAAGCGUUAUUUCAGUGCUUCAGAUGCAAGUGAAAAUAAACAGGCGCAGAGGUGCCGGAGAGUGUUCAGGGAAUUCUGUCAUUUGUCAGGGCUCUUUGCGGUGGCGGACGCUAUUCCUUUUCUUGGAUGGCUAGACUUGGGGAGACAUGAGAAGACCCUAAAGAAGACAGCAAAAGAAAUGGACAGUAUUGCUCAAGAAUGGUUAGAGGAGCACCGUCGGAGGAAAGACUCCGGUGAAGUUAAUAGUACGCAAGACUUCAUGGAUGUGAUGCUGUCAGUUCUUGAUAGCAAAAACCUUGGUGAUUACGAUGCUGAUACCGUCAAUAAAGCCACAUGCCUGGUAUACAUUAUUGGAACACCCACAUAUCAUAUAUAUUUGCAUAUUAUCAGGGCUAGCUUUAUUUCCAUAGGUACUUCUCUUAAUUUUGAAGUGUUACACUGCAAUAAUCAAAUAAAUUUUA
rnacentral:lncRNA from 1 species